UUCUGCGUCUUUGGUUCCAUUUCCUCAUCCCUGCCCUAGAAGAUCAUGGUUUCCUUAGGCCUGGAUGUUAUGAUGACCCUAUUCUCUCCCUUUCUCUCUCUGGGAUCACCAGAAGUUCAGCUGAACUGACUGGGAAAAAAAAUACAUUUCUAAGUUUUGGUUUUCACUGAGAAGAAAGACCUGGGCUUUCACACUGUCCCUCUAUCCUCCAACUCCAUGGGUCAGCCAUAGACAUGCGUGCUCCUGUUCCAUGGAAAGCAAAAAGAACACACCUAUUCUCAUGUAAAGAUCCAUCAGUCAAGCCCUCUUCCCUGGGGAUCAGAUGAUGAAUAAAUUAGAUCUGUAUAAAUACAUGUUGCAAGCACCCUCAUAUUCAGAGCCGUUAUAAUAAUUCGGCAAAGCCAGUAUGAAAAUGAGACAGUAACAUCAAGGAGAAAGGAUUGGGAAAGAGAGCCUAUUCUACUCUGGGGUCUAGCCUGGCCUUCAGUUUGGUACCGUUAGUACCUGGACCUUAUCUGUGUCCUUGGUAAACAGAGAAAACCCAUUUUUAGCUACCUCCCCACUUUUGACCUCUUUUCCUGUGAUCUAACACAUUGCAUAUAACGCCUGAUAGUUUCUGCUAGAUAAGGCUUUGGGCUAUUUUUUAAACUGAGCAUUUAGGCUGAUAAGAGUCAUAUUUUUUCCAUCUGUACUUUCAACAUACUGCCAAAGGGGCUGGGUAGGAGAUAUGUUUUUGAACAAACAGAAUACUAAAUUGAGGCGAUGGAUCAUAAGCUUAAGCAAGGAAGCUCUGCCUUCACCAUCCACUAAAAAAGGUCAGGAGACAGAGAGUUGGAAUGGCAAUUGAAAGUUUUAAUAAUGCAGCCAUCAAAAAGCUCAGUGAAGCUUUUCUUCCCCCUCCUGGCCCAGCAAAGAUAAAGUCCUCAUCAGAGCACAGGAAAUAUGCCCAGUUCCAUCCCAAACGGCGUGCGGUUCUGGGGAUGGAUCACAGCAGCCCUGGCUCUGAUCUCCUAGAAAUCCAUCAAACUUGUCUCUCCAGGGCUUGGGCUUGAGUCAUUACCCUAGGAGGAAUGGUAAGGCACCCAUGCAUCGGCCUUUUAUGUGCUUGAAAAAAUAGGCACUGCUUCAUCUUCCCCAGCAAGCUAAGCCUUCCUCCGGCCCCAGGACCUUCCCCCCUUGUUCCCUUGCCAUGGUGGAGGCAGUGAGGUGGGACAGCCUAUAAGAAGUCCUCACUCCUUGAUCGAUGGCCUAUGAAGAAGCGUGAGAGAGGCCUUAGUUCAUCACAUCUUACACCAAAGCCUUUGCAAUGACGUCAUGGAAACUGGAACAGGAUGGAAGUUCACCCAGGCUGGACAGACCUGUGAGUUUGUGGGAGUUAAAUCCUGUGUUUUGCCCUUCAUGCCUUGCCCUUUUCAGAUUGUCCCUGUAGUUUGGAUGCCCCUCAAAGGUCCGUGUGUCAGAAGCGUUGUUCUCACAUUGGCCCUAUUGGAAAUGGUAGAAAGCUUUGUGGGCGGGGCUUGUGAGAGGUUUUGGGUCAUUGGGGACGUGCUCUUGAGGAAGACUAUGAAGGCACUUCUGUCCUUCAUGACUGGACUAUCACAUGAACAAUUGUUCCUCCAUAUUCUCCUGGACAAGAUGUGCUAACUUAUCACAGGCCCUAGGCAGUGUGGCCAACUGAUGUGGACUUAAUCCUCCCAAGCUUUGGGCUAAGAAGAACCUCCCUCUUUAGAAGUUGAUUGUUUCAGUUACAGUAACAGAAAGCAGACUAUUAUGUUUUUCAUUAUCACUUCCAUCACAAAGCUUGACAUUGUAAAGCCUGCCCAUUUUCUCAGAAGUUAACAUCAUGAUCAGCUGAUUUAAAAAGUUAAUUGAGCAAUGGUGCCAAAUGAUGUUAAUGGUGAAUUACUUCUUGCAGUUUAGAUGCUGCUGUUGGAGAAAUCUGUUGAUCAAGUAAGUAAAUCAUUUUUUACCCAUAGUAGUUCCCAGUCUUAUAGUAGCUUAAAUCCACAUAUUUGCACAUUCAGGGUCUUGGGACAUUGGCUUCUGGCUUGAGCUUAACUUACCUCUCUGACUCUGUUGAAUUUUUCAGACCUUCUCCAGUCUGUCUUAACUGGUUCUCAGCUUUAUUUGAUGUUUACUUAAUAUGGCAUGGAAGAUACUGGUCUUCAGUCCAAAUUGCAACUUGACUUUAUAAGCAGUGUUCUCAAUAGCUGGACAUGAAUGUCUGUUUUUGAAGCUUACCUUCGCUCCUGGUUCCCGGGAGGAAGACGGCAUGAUUCACACCUGUGCAGACAUCUACAACAGUGUUUUCUCUUCCAUUGGAAAAUGCUUUACUGCUCUCCUUCUGGGGCUUUGGUGUAAAUGAUCACUAAAAUACGACAGGUAUUUUCCCCAGGUCAGGUCUGUCAGCACUUAGAAUCCAUGCGGGCACACAUCCCAAACAUUAGCAAGAAUCUGGGGCUGCUGAAGCAAUUACCUAUGGAUUUUUGAGUUUCUCCUUGGCAAGGUCUGGUUCUUGCCUGGCUUCCCAGUGCUUGGUGGGAAGUACAACUCGAUCACAGGUCACAGUCCAGCCUUACUAAGGACGGCUGCACCAAAGUCAGUGAAGAGGAAUGUAGGCGCCUGCACUCAUUGUUCUUUGAAGCUUGAGCAUCCAAUGAAACAUAUUCCCAAAUGGUUGGUCAUAAAGACAAGACUACGAUUUACAGUGUGAUCCUUCUAGGGGUCAAAGUGAACCCCAAUUGCCCUGCCUUUCUACAAAACAUCCUGUAGGGUACUAUUCAAUCUGUUUAACAUGUGACUUUAAUUAACCUUCCAAUUGGGGUGUGUGUGUGUGUGUGUGUGUGUGUGUGUGUGUGUGUGUGUGUGUGUACACACGUGGGUACAUGCACCAACACUUAGUGUCUCUAUCACUUUCCACCUUAUUACUUUUGUUUCAGAGUCUCUCACUGAACUUGGGUUCACCAUUUUUGUUACGCUGGUUGACCAGCAAGCUCCAGGAUCUUCCUUCCUCCCUGACUCCCAGCUCUGGGUUAUAGACUUCUAUUGUCAUGGGUAAGUAGAAGCAUGUGUCUUCCAACCCAAUGUUACAGCUUUAUUGGAACCUGAGAACACCCAAGGCCAAUGGCCAAGGAGCUUCCCAUGCACAUCGAGAACUAGUCAUCAACCAGCCCGAAGCCAAAGCAGAACUAACGUGAGCCCUGCACACCUGCCCAUCUCAAGAAGCGCCCAUCUCUUUAAACAGUAACUAUUCUCAUUAUCUGAGUUCAGCAUUUGACUAAUCCUCAUUAUAACUUGAACAUGGUGUUAUUGCCGGGCAUGAGGAUGGAUUAAAAAUAAUUUGCCUUCAGUGAUACAACGUUUGCUUUAAAGACUAAUUUGACCUUGAGAAGAGGCACUGCUCUCACAGACAAUGACUGAUCAGCUACGGCCAUCAUCUUGAGGAGAAAGGGUAAGCAACUGGAGUAAGAGGAUGCAUAAACUCACUGUGAGGUCCUGAGAUGAGGUGUCUGGACUUCUCUGUGACUCUCAACAGUUUGGGGCUUUUGAUGACAGGUGAACAGGGACCAAGAGGAUUCAGUGUGGCACGGUCAACGUGUAGCCGUGAGCAGGUCAGCCUUGGGCCAGCUGCUACGUCUCCGGGUCUUCAUUUCUUCAUCUUGAAAAUGGAUGCUCUCCAGAAGUAUUAGGCCCUCGGGUCAAGGACCGAGAAACAGAGCCUGGCCCUCUACCACAUCAGAUCUCAUGUCUCUGUACUUGGAGUCUCUGGGUCAGAGACCCUGGGAAUUCAACAGGAGCUUGGGAGAAUUCUAAGGCAGUGUCCAGAGGCAUACAUAUUGCUUAGCUUCCACAUUCCCUGUUUUGUUUGGUUAGUUGGUUGGCUGGGGUUUGUUGUUGUUGGUUUAUUUUUCCAAAAUUGAAGUCUGGAUUGUAAUUUUGAGGCCCACAUAUUGACAAACACUAACCUGUCCUGGUUCUAAGUUACCAGCCACCAUGACAUAUCUGAAUUCAAUUUGAAUGCUGGACACAAGCAAUUGAAACCUUUCCUCACUCACUCCAUCCCUUUCUCUAAACAGGAGGAUGCAGGGUCCUGCCUUGCCUGUCUCCAUUGAGGUGAGGAUUCGUGACAGUUUCCAAGCCUUCAUCAACUUCAUUUUCUCCUGCCUGAGCCAUCCCUGUGCCUAACCUACUUACUGUCAGCCUUUACAUUUCUUUAAUAGUCUGCUCUUUUUUUUCUUUGCUUCAUUGUAAGUAAUUCUCCCUCUGAAAUUACCCAUGCAUGUGCGAAGUGAAUGUUUAAUAAUACUCAAGAAAGUAACUGUGUAGUAAUUAAAUACAGUCCACAUCUGCUUCACCUGAAAUGGUCUUGUCUGCCACCUUUGGGACACAAAGUAUCCUUUGGUGAGGACACAAGCCUAAGAAUCUGGUGGGCAAGUCUGUGGAGUGUUCCAUUGUCAAGACUGGGUGAAACCAUAACCCAGCCAAACCAUAGCCCUAUUCUCCUCCAUCCUCGGCUUUGUUCUCUGCCCAGGGCCAAGGGCUCCAGAAGGACAGCCUUGGGGAAGCUGCUUUCCAUCAGUGACAGGAGUGAGACUCAGACAGCAGCCACGGAACAAUUAAUCUUCCAAAUGAGAACUCAAUUACCAAACAUGUGUUCCAUGAGCAAGGCCCUCGUCUCAUCAGCCAGAGCUGCGAUUAUAUGCAAAUUUUAUAUAUAUAUAUAUAUAUAUAUAUAUAUAUAUAUAUAUAUAUAUGAAUGGAAUCUAUAUGUAUUCCAUUCAUAAUUAUCUCCUUUUAAUGCAGUCUCCCUGACGAUGAUGUAUGCUGUAACUGUUGACUCCUCACAGUUGGAAUUGUUAACGUAUUGUGAAGAUUUGCACAGAAUCAUUCUUUCCCAAGCUGACUUUUGCUGUUAAAAUUAGAAAGACCAAUAUGAGUCUGAACAGCAUGAAUAGGAAGAGUAGAUGAUCAAUUCUUAUGCCUGGAAGGGCGAUUGCCUCCCUGGAGCCGGGAUUUCUUGCUUUCACAUUUUAUAGCUUCUUGUGCUUAUUAUAAUAAAGACAAUAAAGUGGA